rnacentral:lncRNA from 7 species
CAGGGCUAAAUACCUGAAGAAAUCCCAGCUAAGCCAAUUUCCAAUAGAAGAAAGACGUCUACUGGAGUCUUCUGCAGCAAGGCUACCAUUCUUGAGUUCCCCUCUCAAAAGAAUCCAGCGGAAAAGGCAGGAAUUUCAUCAUCUCAGGCAAGCUGCCAGGAAAGAACAAGCUCCCCUCUACUGAAAAAAACACCAAGGACAGAGGAAGUUCAGUUGCUGGGAGACUGCAGCUUUGAGAGCCUUGAAAUUUUAUGUGAUUGAAGAAGAGUUUGGCUGUUUGUUUUUGCUUUCUGGACAUCUGGUACCCUGAAAAAAAAAAGAAAGAAAAGAACUAGCUCAACUGAGCUGUUGAACAUCUGGAUAUUCUGAGCGAAUGACCACUCUAUGUAAUAAGAUGUGUGAAUGCUUCCAGAAUGCACAACCUGAGGUGCAAAUUCCAGGAAAUGAUAUGGGAGAUACCUGCUGCGAUCACCACCAUGACGCACAUCUGUAGAUCAUCCCAACCAUGCAACAGCUCUCCUCUAUUCAUACCUUAUCAAACAUAUUAAAUUCACCUUGGUAUGCUUUUAUCAAUAAAUACCUUAAAACUUCUUGUAUUUCCUUGAUGUGACAAAUGUUUCAAACAGGAAAAUAUUUUUCAGCUCAUUCUAGUUAAUUUUAUGGAGGAACUGUCUCUGUCCUUGAUGUCAAAUAACAUUGUCAACAGCAGCACUCUACAAAUUGGUUAAAAUACACAUUGUAAGAAAAAUUAAAAAAAAAAUCUAUAAUAAACCACUUAGAAAUC